CAUGGCUCAGGAUGAACGCUAGCGACAGGCUUAACACAUGCAAGUCGAGGGGCAUCACGGGAGUAGCAAUACAACUGGUGGCGACCGGCGCACGGGUGAGUAACGCGUAUGCAACCUACCUAUCAGAGGGGAAUAACCCGGCGAAAGUCGGACUAAUACCGCAUAAAACAGGGGCACCGCAUGGUGAUAUUUGUUAAAGAAAUUCGCUGAUAGAUGGGCAUGCGUUCCAUUAGGUAGUUGGUGAGGUAACGGCUCACCAAGCCGACGAUGGAUAGGGGAACUGAGAGGUUGGUCCCCCACACUGGUACUGAGACACGGACCAGACUCCUACGGGAGGCAGCAGUGAGGAAUAUUGGUCAAUGGGCGGGAGCCUGAACCAGCCAAGUCGCGUGGAAAAGGAAGAAGGAUCUAUGGUUCGUAAACUUCUUUGCAGGGGAAUAAAGUGCAGGACGUGUCCUGUUUUGUAUGUACCCUGAGAAUAAGGAUCGGCUAACUCCGUGCCAGCAGCUGC
rnacentral:rRNA from 1 species